rnacentral:rRNA from 1 species
UCCGGUUGAUCCCGCCGGACCUGACUGCUAUCGGAUUGAUACUAAGCCAUGCGAGUCUUUGUAGUAAUACAAGGCAUACGGCUCAGUAACGCGUAGUCAACCUACCCUAUGGACAAGAAUAAUCUCGGGAAACUGAGCAUAAUUCUUGAUAGAUCAUAAUGCCUGGAAUGGUUUAUGGUUAAAAUGAUUCGUCGCCAUAGGAUGGGACUGCGACCUAUCAGCUUGUUGGUGGGGUAAAGGCCCACCAAGGCGAUUACAGGUACGGGCUCUGAGAGGAGAAGCCUGGAGAUGGGUACUGAGACACGGACCCAGGCCCUAUGGGGCGCAGCAGGCGAGAAAACUUUGCAAUGUGCGAAAGCACGACAAGGUUAAUCCGAGUGAUUUCUGCUAAAGGAAUCUUUUGCCAGUUCUAAAAAUACUAGUGAAUAAGGGGUGGGCAAGUUCUGGUGUCAGCCGCCGCGGUAAAACCAGCACCUCAAGUGGUCAGGAGGAUUAUUGGGCCUAAAGCAUCCGUAGCCUGCUCUGUAAGUUUUCGGUUAAAUCUAUAUGCUCAACGUAUAGGCUGCCGAAAAUACUGCAGUGCUAGGAAGUGGGAGAGGUAGACGGUACUUGGUAGGAAGGGGUAAAAUCCUUUGAUCUAUCGAUGACCACCUGUGGCGAAGGCGGUCUACCAGAACACGUUCGACGGUGAGGGAUGAAAGCUGGGGGAGCAAACCGGAUUAGAUACCCGGGUAGUCCCAGCUGUAAACGAUGCAGACUCGAUGAUGCAUUGGCAUAUAGCCGGUGCAGUGUCGCAGGGAAGCCGUUAAGUCUGCCGCCUGGGAAGUACGUACGCAAGUAUGAAACUUAAAGGAAUUGGCGGGGGAGCACCACAAGGGGUGAAGCCUGCGGUUCAAUUGGAUUCAACGCCG